GUGUACGGGACGCUCCUUCAACAACAACAGCUCGCCAGACACCUCGGUAGCUUUCUAGCAAACAUAGCUACAACAUUCACGCUCUUUACACUGUUUUGGUGUAUAUUAGUCGCUGUGUAUUAAACACACUUCUGUCGUAUGUACGUGUUGGCCCAUUUAAUUAUAUAUGUACGUUGUUUGUCAGCUAGCUUGUUUGCUAAGUUAGCUUAGCACUAGGCUAGUCGCUAGGCUAGGAAGACUCGUUCAGAGUGAAAGAGGAGAUGACUGUCAAAUUGGAGGAAGAAGAGGAGGUUGGAGAUCUGUUUAACACCAGAGAGGGACCAGACUCUCACUCUGACAGCGGGGAGACUCCUUCAGGGGAACCAGACCCAGAGACGCCCAAACCAGCAAGACAACACCUCUGUUCCCAGUGUGGAAAGAGUUUUAAGGGGUUAAGGAACCUGGAAGUACAUGAGAGAAUGCACACAGGAGAAAACCCUUACGAUUGCUCCCACUGUUGAAAGAGUUUUACCAAGUUAGGGAACCUAAAAGAGCAUGAGAGGACAAACACAAGAGAAAAGCGUUUCCAAUGUUCCCAGUGUGGAAAGAGGUUUACCCAGUUACGGUACCUGAAACAACAUGAAGAAAUACACACAGAAGAUAGGAAGACCUACCACUGCUCUCAGUGUGGAAAGAUAUUUAUUGGGGUAGGGUACCUGAAAAUACAUAUGAGAAUACACUCCGGAGAGAAGCCUUACCACUGUUCCCACUGUGUAAAGAGUUUUACACAGUUAGGGAGCCUGAAAACACAUGAGAGGGACACACUGAAGAGCAGCCUUAUCACUGUUCCCACUGUGAAAGGAAUAUUAGGUGGUAUGCGAACCUGAAGGAGCAUGAGAGAAUACACACAGGAGAAAAGCCGUACCACUGUUCCAAUUGUGAAGAGUUUUACCCAUCAAGGGAGCCUGAAAGCACAUGAGAGAAUACACUCAGGAGAAAAACCUUACCAAUGUUCCCGGUGUGAAAAGAGUUUUACUCGUUUAGGGAGCUUGAAAAGGCAUGAGAGAAUACACACGGGAGAAAAGCUUUUCCACUGCUCUCAUUGUGAAAAGACAUUUUCCCAGUCAGAGGACCUGAAAUCACACGAGAGAAUAGUGAGGCUGUGUUCUGACUUAUGUUUUUGAUUGUGAAAUUGUGUUUUUUGUUCAUGCUACAUUAAAUCAUAUUGUAUGAAUUAAAUAAUACUGAAAAAUAGGUCCUUUUUUUUGUUCAGCUCAAGACAUGAUCAUGUCGAAAAUCAGAUUAAAAUAGUUUUUAAAAUAUAUGAUGUUUUGAUUAUGAAUUUAAGAUUGAUUGAAUGCAAGUGUAAACCCCUACAUGUUGUUCACUAUAUAAUUGUGAUAUUUCAAACAUGUUCAUUAUUAAAUAGAUUGACAUUAGUAUUUCUUCAUUCAGAUUGUCAUUGUAAAUGUAAAUUGGUUCUCAGUUGACAUAUCUGAUUAAAUAAAGGUGAAAUAAAGUAAAUGCCAUA